UUGGAGGGCAAGUCUGGUGCCAGCAGCCGCGGUAAUUCCAGCUCCAAUAGCGUAUAUUAAAGUUGUUGCAGUUAAAAAGCUCGUAGUUGAAUUUCGGGAUCAAUACGUCGGUCGUGCCUCUGGUAUGUACUGGUGUUAUUGAUUUCUCCCUUCUGAUGAACCAUGAUGUCAUUAAUUUGAUGUUGUGGGGAGUCAGGACUGUUACUUUGAAAAAAUUAGAGUGUUUAAAGCAGGCUCACGCUUGAAUACAUUAGCAUGGAAUAAUGAAAUAGGACGUUCGAUUCUAUUUUGUUGGUUUCUAGGAUCAACGUAAUGAUUAAUAGGGAUAGUUGGGGGCAUUAGUAUUCAAUUGUCAGAGGUGAAAUUCUUGGAUUUAUUGAAGACUAACUACUGCGAAAGCAUUUGCCAAGGAUGUUUUCAUUAAUCAAGAACGAAAGUUAGGGGAUCGAAGACGAUCAGAUACCGUCGUAGUCUUAACCAUAAACUAUGCCGACUAGGGAUCGGAUGAUGUUAAUUUUUUAAUGACUCAUUCGGCGCCUUACGGGAAAC
rnacentral:rRNA from 1 species